rnacentral:misc_RNA from 1 species
GAUGAAGAACGCAGCGAAAUGCGAUAAGUGAUGUGAAUUGCAGAAUUCAGUGAAUCAUCGAAUCUUUGAACGCACAUUGCGCCCCUUGGUAUUCCGAGGGGCAUGCCCGUUCGAGCGUCAUUAUACCCCUCAAGCCUAGCUUGGUGUUGGGGCCUGCUGUUACCGGCAGCCCUUAAAAUCAGUGGCGGUGCCAUCUGGCUCUAAGCGUAGUAAUACUUCUCGCUACAGGGUCCCGGUGGAUGCUUGCCAUCAACCCCUAAUUUUCUAUGGUUGACCUCGGAUCGGGUAGGGAUACCCGCUGAACUUAAGCAUAUCAAUAAGCGGAGGA